rnacentral:rRNA from 1 species
GACGAACGCUGGCGGCGUGCCUAAUACAUGCAAGUCGAGCGCAGGAAACUGACGGAACUCUUCGGAGGGAAGGCAGUGGAAUGAGCGGCGGACGGGUGAGUAACACGUAAGGAACCUGCCUCAAGGAUUGGGAUAACUCCGAGAAAUCGGAGCUAAUACCGGAUAGUUCAACGGACCGCAUGGUCCGCUGAUGAAAGGCGCUCCGGCGUCACCUUGGGAUGGCCUUGCGGUGCAUUAGCUAGUUGGUGGGGUAACGGCCCACCAAGGCGACGAUGCAUAGCCGACCUGAGAGGGUGAUCGGCCACACUGGGACUGAGACACGGCCCAGACUCCUACGGGAGGCAGCAGUAGGGAAUCUUCCACAAUGGACGAAAGUCUGAUGGAGCAACGCCGCGUGAGUGAUGAAGGUUUUCGGAUCGUAAAACUCUGUUGUAAGGGAAGAACACGUACGAGAGGGAAUGCUCGUACCUUGACGGUACCUUACGAGAAAGCCACGGCUAACUACGUGCCAGCAGCCGCCGUAACAC